rnacentral:rRNA from 1 species
CGUAAAGUACGGAGGAAGGUGGGGAUGACGUCAAAUCAUCAUGCCCCUUAUGACCUGGGCUACACACGUGCUACAAUGGUUGGUACAACGAGUUGCGAGUCGGUGACGGCGAGCUAAUCUCUUAAAGCCAAUCUCAGUUCGGAUUGUAGGCUGCAACUCGCCUACAUGAAGUCGGAAUCGCUAGUAAUCGCGGAUCAGCACGCCGCGGUGAAUACGUUCCCGGGCCUU